UAUAAUUUUGGAGAGUACCACUCCAAGCAGUUCAACAAAGAGUACCACUACAAGGAUUUCGAGUGGGAUCAACUCAGACGAGAAAUGGAAUCCGACCCUUCUCUUCUCUACCAAGACUCAGACGCUUGGAACAAGUUUCACUCUCGUCACUCCUCCGGAAAAGUCUUCAAGUGGAAAAGAGAGCAUCACUGUAUACUCAUGUGAUUGUAGCAUUGAGGCUCUUUAAAGGCUGAAGAAGUGAUAGAUGCAGCUGAUUUUGUCUCAGGAAAACACUGUUAUCAUCCAUUCCCUUGUGAUUUUUCUAUUAGUGGAUUUCUGAAGCGGUUGGCCUGGGAUCCUUGCAUUGAAGUUAUUCUGCAAAAGCAGGACAUUUGCCUUUUAGAGAGUGGCAGGGUUAAAAUGUAAAUGCUGCUUUGGUGGGGUGGAUUUUGUGACCUUGAUAUUCAUGCUGUCGGCAUUACCACUUCACAGGAUGCCAACAGCAAUUGCAGCAUGUUUCUCUGUAUUGAAACCUGGUGGCCUACUUCUAUUCAGAGAUUAUGGUAAUUUCCCAACAAAAAACAUAAAUGUAUAUUUAUUCAUAGGAUUUUGGUUAGGACUGUUUGCUCAACAUGAAAAUUUUUCUUCAAUUUUUUAUACUGAAUGUGUAGCCUGGAAGACUUUUAUCUUGCUGCAGUAAUUUUUAAAAAAAAAAGAGUUCCUUUUUAUGUUUUUUUGCUUGAUUUUGGAUGAAAAUCCUGAACCCUUACAAGUGAAUUUAUACGAGUGAAUUGUUGAUAUCAAAAACAUUUUAAGGAUGGACAAGGGAAACACUGAAAUUCUUUUUCAGUUUUAUUUACAGUACUAUGUUUGGAACUUGUUGAAAUUUUAAGAGCAUGAUGAAAACUCUGGCCUUUAUGACAUGACGAUGCUUCGAUUUGAGCCAGCCAAAAAAUGGAUUCAAGGAGUACAUGUGGUCUGAUGGAACUCGUUCCUACUUUUUUUGUUUGCAUAAUGUGAGGGAUCUCUUUGUGGGUGCGGGCGGGCUUCACUGAGGUACUAAUCUUGUUUCUAUCAGUUCGAUGUUAACAUAGCCGUGCCAACAUAGGAUGGUAGAUUUUGGGCUUAGUUUAAGUAGCUUCUAGCAAGCUGAAAGCUGAUAAUCAGAAAGCAAAUGCUAAAAUUACCUCUCUCCUUGCUUCUUAGAAUCAACUUUUUUUAGCUUCUUUGGGUUGUGUUUGGAGUAUGGAUUUGGGUAGGGAUUUAGAAAGGAAAAGGAAAAGAUAGGUGAAGUGUGAAUUAAAUAUAACUACAUUUCACACACUUUUUUCCAUUCUCUUUCCAAAUCCCUACCCAAAUCUAUGCUCCAAACACAACCUUAAGUUAAUUUUUGUUUCAUAAGUUGUAAGCAAAAGUUGCACCUAACACUCUGGUACAUAUUUCAAAAUUAAAAAAAAAACUAUAAGCUACUCCAUAAGCUGCACCAAUCAACCCUUUUAUGACAUUAAACUUGCUGAUGAGUGAAGCUCAUGCCAACUCUACCAUAUGGAGUUUAGAACUCUACUUUUUAUAUAUCUUGACUGUGCAGCUUGAGCUUGAAUAACUUAUAUUGAUGACCCAUCUUGUGCUGCUUAAGUUUGAGAGCUCAUAUAUAUAUAUAUAUAUAUACAUAUAUAUUAUGUUUUGCCUAUAAGAGAGAACAAUUAUCACAUGCACAGUAAUAUUUGUAAUUUUCCAAACUAAAAAUACAGUGGUCAUCAAUCAACUAUAAUCAAAAUUUUUAAAUUCACUUGCUUCCAUGUAUAUUUUUUUAAAUUUCACUGAGAGAUGUAUAAGUACUAUAUAGCAACUUUUGCCCUUUCAAUGUGCCAAGGGUGGCAUACUAUACAGCAACUUUAUGGUGUAAGGUUCAUUAGGGUUCUUACUGGCUAGAUGCUUUACUGGAAUAAGAUACAUACACUACAACAAAUUAAGGGACAAAAUUGCUUUUUAAAGAAAUUAUAUUUUAAUUGUCAAAAGUGUUAUUAUUGUGUUUUUAGUGACGUUAUUAAAACUUUUUGACAUGAAAUUGUUUUGCUUCUAAAAGUGCAUUUAUUAGCGACAUUUUCAAAAAAAAUUCACUAAAGGUUUUUUUUUUGUGUACUUUUUGAGAUGGAUUUUUUGUGGCAGCUGAAAUUGGUCUCAUAAUAAUUUUUGCAACAAAAGCUUCACUUUUGGGAACAAAAAAGUUUAGUGUGUAAAACUCUUAUAUGUUGUACUUUUCUUUCUACCCAAUAAGAUAAAGCUAUUGACAAUACUUUGUACCAAAAAAAUACUUAGAAAAGUAUCCAGAAUUUAAUUGUGGAUCAGAUUCAUCCUGGCCAUGACCCAAACCACAUCAAGCUUAAAUUUACACCAUGCAUUCAACAAAUUAUGGAAACCUUUCUAGAAUUUUGUAAAACUAUUUUGAUUAAGAAGAUCAUGGUUUUUUGCCAAUAUGGAUAUUUGGCUUCAAAUUUUGUGAAAUUUAAAGAAAAAUAGGUCUCUCUUUGACACCUCCUACUGAUGUGCAGAGAUGGAGGAGAAAUGAAAACCAUUUGAACUGUAUCUUCACACAAAUCGAAUUUAGUAAAUUCAUUGAAUUAUGCAUAUGUUAAGACAAUGAUCAACCACAAAAAUUUGACCUGCUGAUUCUUUCUUAAGACAGACUCAUCUUGGUUUUGACUAACACUGCAACUUUUAUUUGUUGCAAUUCUAUGAGAUCUAAGUGGUUCACCAUGUCAUAUUGAUGAGCACUGUCACUAUUGAAAAAUUAAAACAAAUUAGGUCAAACACCAAGUAUAUAUGUAAUUGGGGACAAUAUGAUCCAAGAAAGGUCAUGCGUGCACUAUGAAAAUUAGGUCAAACAGCACAGCGUGUACUCCACGGCAGGUAGAUAGGCAGCAAAUGAAAUUUUCAGCAUCAAGGACUUGGAAAAGUGAAGAUGCUCCAUAAUUUCAAUUGCUGAUGCAUAAUGGUGCAUUUAUUAUAUUAAUCACUUCAAGUUUCUACUGCAUAUUAAAUUCUGGCUUUACUUAGUGGUCCACAAUUUCCUUAAUGCAGGUUUUUUGGAUUUUCCUUCAAUGUUUUAUAAUCAAUUGUCUUGUUAGACUUUUUAAGAUUGCUAGGGUUUGCAAAUGUUGAUUUGGUGAAGCCAACCUUUUAAAAAAAAAAAUUGAAAAAUGGAACCCAUUUGUCGUUGGUCUUUGAUGGAGAUUAUUGUAACUAUACUUCAGACCGAAGGAUUUCGAAGUAGAAUUAUAUGAAUAUUGUGUUGAUUAUUUAAUUUUGUUCAAGCAACGAGCCUUUCUGUGCUUCAUAGACCUUAGUUCUGUUAACUUCAGUAAAGCAGUCAACUCUGGGUUCAAUCUAUCAAUGAUCUCCCUCUCCUAAGGAGUAAAGUUUAGUUUAACUUUCUGAUAUAGCUACUCAUCCCUCACUUCCUAUUAAUUCUUCUGCGUCUCUUUCUAUACUUGAUCUAUCUGGUAAUGAUCUAUCUUCUUCAAUAUACAGUUAGUUGUUCAAAUUUCGUAGUAGCCUUAUUGAUGUAAACCUUUUUAAUAAAAAUGGUCCGAUUCCUGAUUCUUUUGGAGAUAUGAUUUCCUCACAAAUCUGAAUCUCAGUUACAAUCAUCUUGAAGGUGGCCUUCCACAAUCCUUUGCACAUUUAAGUCAUUUACGAUCUUUACAUCUAUCCAGAAACAAUUUAACUGAAGAACUUCGCAAGUUCUUUCAAAAGUUGUCUAGGUCAGAGGACUCAUUACAGGUUUUGUAUGUGGAUGACAAUCGACUUAGUGGUCCAUUUCUUGAUUUUACAUGAUUUUCUUCCUUGAGAGAAUUGUCUGUUGGCUUUAAUCAGUUGAGUGGCUUCAUCCCAGAGACUUUUGGACAACUUCCAAGUCUUGUUUCUCGUCAGUUGUAUGGAAACCAAAUUACAGGGUCACUGCCUGACCUUUCAAUGUUUCCAUUAUCGUUGGAGCUAGACCUUGGAGACAAUCAAUUGAAUGGGACCAUGCACAGAAAUAUUGGAAAACUUUCCAUGCGUGAGUAUUUCGUUGUCUAUUUCAAUUCAUAAAAAGGCAUACUCUCUGAAACUCACUUUUCUAAUUUCUGCUGUCUGAAGUAUUUGUUGUUUUCUUCAAACUCAUUAACUUGUAACUUCUUUUCUGAUUGGGUUCCUCCUUUCCAACUUCUUGUUAUUAUGUUGUCCUCUUGUAAGUCGGGGUCUCAUUUUCCAAAAUGGCUUCAAACACAAAAUAAGAUUUCUAAGCUUGAUAUUUCAAGUAAUGGAAUUUCUGAUGUUCCUAGUUGGUUUUGGGAUCUAUCCCCAGGUUGAAUUUAUUUAAAUCUUUCUAACAAUCUGAUCAAUGGCUUGUUGCCUGAUCUAUCAUUGAAAUUUCAUGAUUGACGUGGUAUAGAUUUAAGUUAGAAUCAGUUUAUGGGUCCAAUACCACUAAUUCAUCCUAAUGUAAUACUUUUGAAUCUCUCCAAAAAUAAUAUCUCUGGUUCAGUUUAUUUCUUAUGUGCAAUUGCGGGUAUGGAGCUCACCUAUCUUGACCUCUCAAACAACUUAAUUUCAGGAGAGCUUCCCAACUGUUGGGAACACUUUAAUUCACUAUACAUCUUUAGUUUGGCAUACGAUAAUUUGCACGGGGAAAUUCCAAGCUCAAUGGGUUCUCUAUGUGAACUUGAAACUUUGCACUUGCACAACAAUGGGGCUGGGUUUGACAUUUGGAUUUUGGACAGUUUUUGGCACUAUGAUUUUUAACAAACCAUCUGGACACGCUUAUUUCAAGUUCUUGGACAGCAUAAAGAAUUGGAUUUAUGUGACAACUGCACUGAGUACGUCUAGAUUGCAAAGGAGUCUUCAGAGGUAAGUGGUAAGUAUCUUUUUUUCAAUUUUCUUAGUUCUCAUAUCUUUGUGUCUUGAUCAUUGCUAACAAGUUAGACUUUUCUUAUUAUUAUUAAUUUUUUUUCAAAUCCUACAUAGGCCGAUUUAAGCACACACUUACUAUUUGCUCGAGCUUUGUGGUUUUUCUUAGAUCUAUUUGUUCUAAGUUCGCUAUAAAACACUUUUGCAGGUCUAUGUUGCAAGCUAUAUGGUAACCGCCCUAGUUUUUACUGAGUAAUGGCUUGACAUCCACUAACUGUUUAGUUGUCAUUGUUAAAUAAAACGAUUGCUACAAAUUUUUUCCCCCUUUUCUUGCAGAAGUCAUUCACUCCUACUAUAAUUUUGCAAAACUAAUCUUGUAAUAACAGUGAUGAUGAUGUGCUCUGCCAUUGCAAACCUAACAAAAGCACUAAAGUUGUGUCAUAUUAUGCAAUGAUACUGAAUUAAUCCCGUUUAUAAACUAUAUUAAUGGUUGGCCAAUAUUUUGUUAGCCUUAAUUUAUCUGAUAAUUGCAUUUUUUUUCCCCAUUUUUUUGCUAUGUUUUCCAAGGAAGCUGGGCUAGACCUGAGAGAGAAACGAGCAGUGAGUUCGGAGCAUAUGGAGCGGAGCUAUUAGCACCAACUGUUACUAGGGCCUCUAUUUGUUUUCUUGAAACGAUGAAAUAACUUUGUAAAUAUUUAUUUUCAUGUGUAAUUAUAUAUAUUGUGGAUUGUGUGUUUGGAAGGAUUGCAAUCUGUUUUCGUUAUAAAUUGUUUGUUUUAUUA